CUGCGGAGCCCGGUUUUCAUCUCGCUCCUUUGCGGUGAGGGGCGGGGUCAAAACAAACCGAGCAGAGCCGAUAUGUUACGAGCGGCUCCGAGGUCAAGUUCCUCGGAUUAAAGCGACUUCCUGUCUGGUAUUUCACUCUAAAAGCGAAAGCGCUAACCGAAAGACGACCGUUGAAUACGUGAAACGUACUUCAUCUUUAGGUUCAGCCAAUCACCAGCAAAACAAGCCACAGAGGUGA